ACGCUAGCUACAGGCUUAACACAUGCAAGUCGAGGGGCAGCAUGGCCUUAGCUUGCUAAGGCCGAUGGCGACCGGCGCACGGGUGAGUAACACGUAUCCAACCUGCCGUCUACUCUUGGACAGCCUUCUGAAAGGAAGAUUAAUACAAGAUGGCAUCAUGAGUCCGCAUGUUCACAUGAUUAAAGGUAUUCCGGUAGACGAUGGGGAUGCGUUCCAUUAGAUAGUAGGCGGGGUAACGGCCCACCUAGUCUUCGAUGGAUAGGGGUUCUGAGAGGAAGGUCCCCCACAUUGGAACUGAGACACGGUCCAAACUCCUACGGGAGGCAGCAGUGAGGAAUAUUGGUCAAUGGGCGAGAGCCUGAACCAGCCAAGUAGCGUGAAGGAUGACUGCCCUAUGGGUUGUAAACUUCUUUUAUAAAGGAAUAAAGUCGGGUAUGGAUACCCGUUUGCAUGUACUUUAUGAAUAAGGAUCGGCUAACUCCGUGCCAGCAGCCGCGGUAAUACGGAGGAUCCGAGCGUUAUCCGGAUUUAUUGGGUUUAAAGGGAGCGUAGAUGGAUGUUUAAGUCAGUUGUGAAAGUUUGCGGCUCAACCGUAAAAUUGCAGUUGAUACUGGAUAUCUUGAGUGCAGUUGAGGCAGGCGGAAUUCGUGGUGUAGCGGUGAAAUGCUUAGAUAUCACGAAGAACUCCGAUUGCGAAGGCAGCCUGCUAAGCUGCAACUGACAUUGAGGCUCGAAAGUGUGGGUAUCAAACAGGAUUAGAUACCCUGGUAGUCCACACGGUAAACGAUGAAUACUCGCUGUUUGCGAUAUACUGCAAGCGGCCAAGCGAAAGCGUUAAGUAUUCCACCUGGGGAGUACGCCGGCAACGGUGAAACUCAAAGGAAUUGACGGGGGCCCGCACAAGCGGAGGAACAUGUGGUUUAAUUCGGUGAUACGCGAGGAACCUUACCCGGGCUUAAAUUGCAGAUGAAUUACGGUGAAAGCCGUAAGCCGCAAGGCAUCUGUGAAGGUGCUGCAUGGUUGUCGUCAGCUCGUGCCGUGAGGUGUCGGCUUAAGUGCCAUAACGAGCGCAACCCUUGUUGUCAGUUACUAACAGGUUCCGCUGAGGACUCUGACAAGACUGCCAUCGUAAGAUGUGAGGAAGGUGGGGAUGACGUCAAAUCAGCACGGCCCUUACGUCCGGGGCUACACACGUGUUACAAUGGGGGGUACAGAGGGCCGCUACCACGCGAGUGGAUGCCAAUCCCCAAAACCUCUCUCAGUUCGGACUGGAGUCUGCAACCCGACUCCACGAAGCUGGAUUCGCUAGUAAUCGCGCAUCAGCCACGGCGCGGUGAAUACGUUCCCGGGCCUUGUACACACCGCCCGUCAAGCCAUGGGAGCCGGGGGUACCUGAAGUGCGUAACCGCGAGGAGCGCCCUAGGGUAAAACUGG
rnacentral:rRNA from 1 species